CCCGCUGAACUUAAGCAUAUCAAUAAGCGGAGGAAAAGAAACUAACAAGGAUUCCCCUAGUAACUGCGAGUGAAGCGGGAAAAGCUCAAAUUUAAAAUCUGAUGGUCUUUGGCCAUCCGAGUUGUAAUUUAGAGAAGCGUCUUCCGCGCUGGACCCAUGCACAAGUCUCCUGGAAUGGAGCGUCAUAGAGGGUGAGAAUCCCGUCUUUGGCAUGGAAUCCCCAUGGCUCUUGUGAUGCGCUCUCGACGAGUCGAGUUGGUUGGGAAUGCAGCUCAAAAUGGGUGGGGAACUCCAUCUAAAGCUAAAUAUUGGCGAGAGACCCAUAGCGAACAAGUACCGUGAGGGAAAGAUGAAAAGCACUUUGGAAAGAGAGUGAAACAGUACGUGAAAUUGUUGAAAGGGAAACGCUUGAAGUCAGUCGCGUCGACCGAGACUCAGCCUUGCCUCGGCUUGGUCGUACUUCUCGGCUGAAGGGUCAGCAUAGAUUUCGAUCCUUGGAUAAUGGCGAGGGAAAGGUAGCACCUUUUUUUAGGUGCGUUAUAGUCCUUUGUCGCAUCUCGAGGGUCGGGAUUGAGGAACUCAGCAUGCACUCUCAGGGUGUCGGGGCCUUGGCCCACGUUUCCGUGCUUAGGAUGCUGGCGUAAUGGCUUUAAACGACCCGUCUUGAAACACGG
rnacentral:rRNA from 1 species